rnacentral:rRNA from 1 species
UACAGAGGGGGCAAGCGUUGUUCGGAAUUACUGGGCGUAAAGGGCGCGUAGGCGGCCUUCUAAGUCGAACGUGAAAUCCCCGGGCUCAACCCGGGAACUGCGUCCGAUACUGGAAGGCUUGAAUCCGGGAGAGGGAUGCGGAAUUCCAGGUGUAGCGGUGAAAUGCGUAGAUAUCUGGAGGAACACCGAUGGCGAAGGCAGCCCCCUGGGCUAAGAUUGACGCUCAUGCACGAAAGCGUGGGGAGCAAACAGG